GAAAUGAAUUUGUUAAUUUUGGCAGUGAUGUCAUCCUAAAGUGCAUCAAUAAGACUUGGAGUGAGAAUCUACGUCAUCUGGAAUUGAAACCUGCGUGGGAGAGAGUGUCAAAUAUACAGGGAUUUUGAGAACCGAUACCAGAACACAUGUAAUGACAGCAAACUCCUGCUCAAUGCCUCCACUGGAGAACCCUUCCUGUUUCUUCCCGAAUUUUCCAUCAGGGUUGAGGGAAAGUACCAGUGGGAUAUUGUUUACAAAGGAGGGAGCCACGAUGCACAUUUACAUGUUUUGCCAAUGGAUAAGACAACAUCUCCAUCUGACCUUUUUAGAUUUAGUGUAUUCGUUUGUGAAGGCCUGUGCCUUUUUAGCUUUAUUUUGUUUGUGCUAAAAGCCUGUUCUUUUUCUGACAUAUUCCUUCACAGUUCCAUUGUAAAAUUCAGUGAACACCUUCCUCGCCCCUGUGUUUAGCUCCUCCCAGUGUGUCUUCCUGUCUGGAGUGGGAGGACAGUUGGAGGUGGCUGUGUGUUUAGCUGAAGGGGAAAACCACCUGCCUCCAUCUCCUGGAGGAACACAUGGAACUCUACUUCAACCACAGCCAGCACUAUAGAGACCAUACAGAACCAAGACGGCUCCUACUCUGUGGAGAGACGGUUGGUCCUGCCUGACAGUGGCUCUGAUCUGUGCUGUCAUACACCCCUCCAGGGCAGAGAAGCAUAUUGAGACAAACCUGGCAUUUUGUGGGAAGAAGCAGUCUGGUAAUUUGGGGAUGGACAUCUCUCAUAUCCUUAAGAUUGCAGGCAUCUGCACAAUUCCCAUCCUCCUGACCAUGGCGUAUGUAGUGAGAGGAGGAUGCAAGAAACCAUCUCAGGAAUCAGAAGUGGAACUGAGUGAGCUGAGCAUACAGGAAGCUGACGUAGAACAACGAGGCAGUAUGUGUGAGACUCUAUGAUGAUGUGAUAUAAUCUUCUUUCAAUUGUAUCAGCUGUGUAACAACUAUUUGACUGUAUUUUAAAUAAUAUCUCUUGAGGCAGAAAGUUCAAUGAGACAUUUAUUUCAACUGUAGCUGUUGAAUACAUCUCAGUUACUUAAAUAAAUAAAUACACUACUCAAGAACAG